rnacentral:rRNA from 1 species
UACGAAGGGGGCUAGCGUUGUUCGGAAUUACUGGGCGUAAAGCGCGCGCAGGCGGUUCUUUAAGUCAGGGGUGAAAGCCCAGAGCUCAACUCUGGAAUUGCCUUUGAAACUAGAGAACUUGGGUACGGGAGAGGUGAGUGGAAUUCCGAGUGUAGAGGUGAAAUUCGUGGAUAUUGGGAAGAACACCGGUGGCGAAGGCGGCUCACUGGCUCGUUUCUGACGCUCAGGCGCGACAGCGUGGGGAUCAAACAGG